rnacentral:tRNA from 1 species
ACUAUUUUGGCAGAUAAGUGCGGUGGAUUUAGAAUCUAUUUAUGUGGUUUUUAACGCAGAUGGUA